UACGAAGGGGGCUAGCGUUGUUCGGAAUUACUGGGCGUAAAGCGCGUGUAGGCGGGUCUUUAAGUCAGGGGUGAAAUGCCAAGGCUCAACCUUGGAACUGCCUUUGAUACUGGAGAUCUUGAGUCCGGGAGAGGUGAGUGGAACUGCGAGUGUAGAGGUGAAAUUCGUAGAUAUUCGCAAGAACACCGGUGGCGAAGGCGGCUCACUGGCCCGGAACUGGCGCUGAGACGCGAAAGCGUGGGGAGCAAACAGG
rnacentral:rRNA from 1 species